UUUUUAUUAGCUGAGGGUAUUGUGGUAAAUUCAACCUGUUGUCCACCUUCUGCUUACUCCACGUGGUUGUGUGUCCUUGGGUUUAUUGUGCGUGACUCCAUGUCUGCUUUCCACGAAUCUUCAUCUAUUGAAAAGGAAAAAGGCAGAGCUAUUUCUCUUCAAUCUUUUCAAGUACUCUUCAAUUUCAAGCGUACCAAAAAUGAAGAGGCAUAACACUUGAAGAGGCCCUACUACUAAAGUAAUUCCACAUGACAAGUUUCCGUUUCAUUGUUAGAAUGAAUUUUUUUCCAGUUUAGAGAAUAUUAGUUUAUUCAUAGAUGUAUACGUGGUUAUAGUGUCAUUGUGUUAUUUGGCAACUCUUCCCCUCUAUGUGGGGAAAACUCAAAUAACCAUAUUGGUUCCUUCAGAGAUGUAUAGUUAUUAAUUAAUAACAUUCAAGUAGCAUGAGGUGGUUAUAGUGUCACAAUUAUGUUAUUGGCAAAAUUGAUGUAUUUAAGCUAUCA